rnacentral:rRNA from 1 species
GGUUAAGCGACUAAGCGUACACGGUGGAUGCCCUGGCAGUCAGAGGCGAUGAAGGACGUGCUAAUCUGCGAUAAGCGUCGGUAAGGUGAUAUGAACCGUUAUAACCGGCGAUUUCCGAAUGGGGAAACCCAGUGUGUUUCGACACACUAUCAUUAACUGAAUCCAUAGGUUAAUGAGGCGAACCGGGGGAACUGAAACAUCUAAGUACCCCGAGGAAAAGAAAUCAACCGAGAUUCCCCCAGUAGCGGCGAGCGAACGGGGAGCAGCCCAGAGCCUGAAUCAGUGUGUGUGUUAGUGGAAGCGUCUGGAAAGGCGUGCGAUACAGGGUGACAGCCCCGUACACAAAAAUGCACAUGCUGUGAGCUCGAUGAGUAGGGCGGGACACGUGGUAUCCUGUCUGAAUAUGGGGGGACCAUCCUCCAAGGCUAAAUACUCCUGACUGACCGAUAGUGAACCAGUACCGUGAGGGAAAGGCGAAAAGAACCCCGGCGAGGGGAGUGAAAAAGAACCUGAAACCGUGUACGUACAAGCAGUGGGAGCCUCUUUUAUGGGGUGACUGCGUACCUUUUGUAUAAUGGGUCAGCGACUUAUAUUCUGUAGCAAGGUUAACCGAAUAGGGGAGCCGAAGGGAAACCGAGUCUUAACUGGGCGUUAAGUUGCAGGGUAUAGACCCGAAACCCGGUGAUCUAGCCAUGGGCAGGUUGAAGGUUGGGUAACACUAACUGGAGGACCGAACCGACUAAUGUUGAAAAAUUAGCGGAUGACUUGUGGCUGGGGGUGAAAGGCCAAUCAAACCGGGAGAUAGCUGGUUCUCCCCGAAAGCUAUUUAGGUAGCGCCUCGUGAAUUCAUCUCCGGGGGUAGAGCACUGUUUCGGCAAGGGGGUCAUCCCGACUUACCAACCCGAUGCAAACUGCGAAUACCGGAGAAUGUUAUCACGGGAGACACACGGCGGGUGCUAACGUCCGUCGUGAAGAGGGAAACAACCCAGACCGCCAGCUAAGGUCCCAAAGUCAUGGUUAAGUGGGAAACGAUGUGGGAAGGCCCAGACAGCCAGGAUGUUGGCUUAGAAGCAGCCAUCAUUUAAAGAAAGCGUAAUAGCUCACUGGUCGAGUCGGCCUGCGCGGAAGAUGUAACGGGGCUAAACCAUGCACCGAAGCUGCGGCAGCGACGCUUAUGCGUUGUUGGGUAGGGGAGCGUUCUGUAAGCCUGUGAAGGUGUGCUGUGAGGCAUGCUGGAGGUAUCAGAAGUGCGAAUGCUGACAUAAGUAACGAUAAAGCGGGUGAAAAGCCCGCUCGCCGGAAGACCAAGGGUUCCUGUCCAACGUUAAUCGGGGCAGGGUGAGUCGACCCCUAAGGCGAGGCCGAAAGGCGUAGUCGAUGGGAAACAGGUUAAUAUUCCUGUACUUGGUGUUACUGCGAAGGGGGGACGGAGAAGGCUAUGUUGGCCGGGCGACGGUUGUCCCGGUUUAAGCGUGUAGGCUGGUUUUCCAGGCAAAUCCGGAAAAUCAAGGUUGAGGCGUGAUGACGAGGCACUACGGUGCUGAAGCAACAAAUGCCCUGCUUCCAGGAAAAGCCUCUAAGCAUCAGGUAACAUCAAAUCGUACCCCAAACCGACACAGGUGGUCAGGUAGAGAAUACCAAGGCGCUUGAGAGAACUCGGGUGAAGGAACUAGGCAAAAUGGUGCCGUAACUUCGGGAGAAGGCACGCUGAUAUGUAGGUGAAGCGACUUGCUCGUGGAGCUGAAAUCAGUCGAAGAUACCAGCUGGCUGCAACUGUUUAUUAAAAACACAGCACUGUGCAAACACGAAAGUGGACGUAUACGGUGUGACGCCUGCCCGGUGCCGGAAGGUUAAUUGAUGGGGUCAGCGCAAGCGAAGCUCUUGAUCGAAGCCCCGGUAAACGGCGGCCGUAACUAUAACGGUCCUAAGGUAGCGAAAUUCCUUGUCGGGUAAGUUCCGACCUGCACGAAUGGCGUAAUGAUGGCCAGGCUGUCUCCACCCGAGACUCAGUGAAAUUGAACUCGCUGUGAAGAUGCAGUGUACCCGCGGCAAGACGGAAAGACCCCGUGAACCUUUACUAUAGCUUGACACUGAACAUUGAGCCUUGAUGUGUAGGAUAGGUGGGAGGCUUAGAAGUGUGGACGCCAGUCUGCAUGGAGCCGACCUUGAAAUACCACCCUUUAAUGUUUGAUGUUCUAACGUUGACCCGUAAUCCGGGUUGCGGACAGUGUCUGGUGGGUAGUUUGACUGGGGCGGUCUCCUCCUAAAGAGUAACGGAGGAGCACGAAGGUUGGCUAAUCCUGGUCGGACAUCAGGAGGUUAGUGCAAUGGCAUAAGCCAGCUUGACUGCGAGCGUGACGGCGCGAGCAGGUGCGAAAGCAGGUCAUAGUGAUCCGGUGGUUCUGAAUGGAAGGGCCAUCGCUCAACGGAUAAAAGGUACUCCGGGGAUAACAGGCUGAUACCGCCCAAGAGUUCAUAUCGACGGCGGUGUUUGGCACCUCGAUGUCGGCUCAUCACAUCCUGGGGCUGAAGUAGGUCCCAAGGGUAUGGCUGUUCGCCAUUUAAAGUGGUACGCGAGCUGGGUUUAGAACGUCGUGAGACAGUUCGGUCCCUAUCUGCCGUGGGCGCUGGAGAACUGAGGGGGGCUGCUCCUAGUACGAGAGGACCGGAGUGGACGCAUCACUGGUGUUCGGGUUGUCAUGCCAAUGGCACUGCCCGGUAGCUAAAUGCGGAAGAGAUAAGUGCUGAAAGCAUCUAAGCACGAAACUUGCCCCGAGAUGAGUUCUCCCUGACCCUUUAAGGGUCCUGAAGGAACGUUGAAGACGACGACGUUGAUAGGCCGGGUGUGUAAGCGCAGCGAUGCGUUGAGCUAACCGGUACUAAUGAACCGUGAGGCUUAACCUU